AUUUCUUUCAAAGGGCAAGAUAUUCCAUGAAAGCUGCAAUCGUCGAGAAAGGCUGAAGAAGCUAGGUUGCUAUGUCAGAGAAGCGUGCCAGCAGUGAGAACAACAGGGUAGAGGAAUUCAUCAACAAGGAAGGAAGGCAGCCAAGCAAUCUACUUUGCUCUUCCUGAGAACUGCUGAUAUCUGGUCUACCCUAGGUUACCCUGUCCUAAAUCCUAUACAUGCAUUCCAAGAUCCCCUACAACUAGGACACCUUUGAUCAUCCUCAGGUAAAACAAUAUUACAGGCCAAUGUUAUUAUUAAAACCCAUACAUCAAUGAGCUUUACUCUGUUUUGACUAAGAAGAAACCACACAUCCUUCACCUUUUAUUGAU
rnacentral:lncRNA from 1 species